rnacentral:sRNA from 1 species
UAAAGAGGUUUACGUCCUCGCGACCCCGU